rnacentral:rRNA from 1 species
GAUGAACGCUAGCGGCAGGCCUAAUACAUGCAAGUCGAACGGUGUCUUCGGACAUAGUGGCGCACGGGUGCGUAACACGUAUGCAACUUGCUCUUAACAGGGGGAUAGCUUUCGGAAACGAAAAUUAAUACCCCAUAUUAUGACUUAUAUGCAUGUAUGAGUAAUGAAAGCUCCGGCGGUUAAGGAUGGGCGUGCGGCUGAUUAGCUAGUUGGCGAGGUAAAGGCUCACCAAGGCGACGAUCAGUAGGGGGUCUGAGAGGAUGUCCCCCCACACUGGUACUGAGACACGGACCAGACUCCUACGGGAGGCAGCAGUAGGGAAUAUUGGUCAAUGGAGGCAACUCUGAACCAGCCACGCCGCGUGCAGGAUGAAGGCCCUCUGGGUUGUAAACUGCUUUUGUUAGGGAAAAAACCCCUCGAUGCGUUGAGGGUUGAUGGUACCUAAAGAAUAAGGAUUGGCUAACUCCGUGCCAGCCGCCGCGGUAAUAC